UACGUAGGGUGCAAGCGUUUGUCCGGAAUUAUUGGGCGUAAAGAGCUCGUAGGCGGUUUGUCGCGUCUGCCGUGAAAGUCCGGGGGCUCAACUCCGGAUCUGCGGUGGGUACGGGCAGACUAGAGUGAUGUAGGGGAGACUGGAAUUCCUGGUGUAGCGGUGAAAUGCGCAGAUAUCAGGAGGAACACCGAUGGCGAAGGCAGGUCUCUGGGCAACAACUGACGCUGAGGAGCGAAAGCGUGGGGAGCGAACAGG
rnacentral:rRNA from 1 species